rnacentral:rRNA from 1 species
CCUACGGGAGGCAGCAGUGGGGAAUAUUGCGCAAUGGGCGAAAGCCUGACGCAGCGACGCCGCGUGAGGGAUGAAGGUCGUCGGAUCGUAAAACUCUGUCAGCAGGGAAGAACGGUCACUGUGCUAAUCAGCAGUGAAUUGACGGUACCUGCAAAGGAAGCACCGGCUAACUCCGUGCCAGCAGCCGCGGUAAGACGGAGGGUGCGAGCGUUACUCGGCAUUACUGGGCGUAAAGCGCUCGUAGGCGGUAUGUCAAGUCAAGGGUGAAAUCCCCGCGCUCAACUUGGGAACUUCCUUUGAAACUGGCAAACUGGAGUGUGUGAGAGGAUAGUGGAAUUCCCGGUGUAGGGGUGCAAUCCGUAGAUAUCUGGAGGAACAUCAGUGGCGAAGGCGACUCUCUGGCACAUAACUGACGCUGAGGAGCGAAAGCGUGGGUAGCAAACAGGAUUAGCUACCCCGGUAGUC